AUGUCUAGCAGGGGAGGCUUCUCAGCUCUUACCGCUUGGGAUGGCUGUUUUCUUAUCUCAGAUGGAGUCCUGUCAUAUGAUCACCAGUGAAUGUCUGUAAGGUCUGUCUUGGUAAUGAUUAACCAAGCUGACCUGCCUGUUUCCUUAGCAGUCUCUGAUGUGGACGGCUUGAAUAUUUCUUUUUAUUUCCUGGUUUGCACUGGUUUCAGUUUUCAGGGGGAAACCUUGGCUCACCCAAGGCCAGCAGACGCCCUCACCUGGAGAGCACCUGUGGCUUCUGCCCUCCCUCACACCCAGGUAUGCAGUGAGAUGCUAUAAAAAGAACAUGACCCAACAUGGAAGAUAUUGUCUUUAUGAACUGGAAGAAAGGCGAUAGGAAGUACCCCACAGCAACCUCAGGAUGUGCACUUACAUCUUUUCCAUACCAAAACGCUUUAAACCUCAUCAGAAUUCCUCCUCGACCUGAGAACAGCAUGUGGCUCAACACAACAACAUAGCCCCAAGGCACAUCACUCUCAGUGUCCAGUAUACUCAGCAAUGAACACAUACAGAAGAAAAUAUUUCUUAAAUAGAAGGUCAAACACUCCUUAAGGAAGAUGACUUUUUGUUAAAAGAAGACAAAAACAUUGAUCUCUCUACUUGUCAUGUAGAAUUUGAUCUUGAAAAUCCUAACAUGGUGAUGUUGGCGGGAUCAAGUGUAGCCUGAUGAAGUUUGCAGAUAAGACCAAACAGAGCGGGGAAGCAGACACUCCAGAAGGGAGAGCUGCUCUACAGGAAGAUCUGGAUAGGCUGGAAGAGUGGGCCAGCAAGAACUUUAUGAAGUUCAGCAAGGACAAGUGUAAGGUCUUGCACCUGGGAAAACAUAAUCCUGGAGUCCAGCACAGACUGGGAUCCACCUCGCUGGACACCAGCUCUGUCGAAAGGGACCUGGGGGUCCUGGUGGACAGGAAGCUCAACAUGAGUGAACAGUGGGCUGCUGCAGCCAAGAAGGCCAACAGGAUGUUGGGUUGCAUCAAAAAGGGCAUCACCAGCAGAGAUGAAGAAGUCAUUAUCCUACUCUACUCAGCACUUGUCAUGCCACACCUGGAGUACUGUGUACAGUUCUGGCCCCCUCCAUACAAAAAGGAUGUGGACAGGCUGGAAAGGAUCCAGAGAAGGGCCACCAAGACGACCAAAGGAGUGAGAAGCCUGCCAUAUGAGGAUAGGCUGGGAGAACUGGGUUUGUUCAGCCUUGAGAAAAGGAGGCUCAGAGGGGAUCUCAUCACCGUGUACCAGUACUUAAGGGGUAGCUACAAAGAAGAUGGAGAUUCCCUUUUUACACGGAGUCACAUAGAGAGGACAAGGGGGAAUGGACACAAGUUGCUCCUGGGGAGAUUCUGAUUGGACACCAGAGGGAAAUUUUUCACAUUGAGGACAGUCAAGCAUUGGAAUAAUCUCCCCAGGGAAGUGGUUGACUCGGCCCACAUUGGACACUUUUAAGAUUUGGCUGGACAGGGUGCUGGGCCAUCUUGUCUAGUCUGCGCUCUUCCUAGAAAGGUUAGACUAGAUGAUCCCUGAGGUCCCUUCCAACCUGGGAUUCUGUGAUUGUAAUGAAUUAAGUAACUUGUAUGUUACUUUGAAAGCACAAAUUGCUGUGUUACAUUACUGUGGCUUCAUUCUUUCUGUACUCAGCCCUAGCAGGGCCAAAACUGGA